rnacentral:rRNA from 1 species
UACGUAGGGCGCGAGCGUUGUCCGGAUUUAUUGGGCGUAAAGAGCUCGUAGGCGGCUUGUCGCGUCGUCCGUGAAAACCUGCAGCUCAACUGCAGGCUUGCGGUCGAUACGGGCAGGCUCGAGUUCGGUAGGGGAGACUGGAAUUCCUGGUGUAGCGGUGAAAUGCGCAGAUAUCAGGAGGAACACCGGUGGCGAAGGCAGCUCGCUGGGACGGAACUGACGCUAAGGCGCGAAAGCGUGGGGAGCGAACAGG